UGCAAGUCGAGCGGACCGACGGGAGCUUGCUCCCUUAGGUCAGCGGCGGACGGGUGAGUAACACGUGGGUAACCUGCCUGUAAGACUGGGAUAACUCCGGGAAACCGGGGCUAAUACCGGAUGCUUGAUUGAACCGCAUGGUUCAAUCAUAAAAGGUGGCUUUUAGCUACCACUUACAGAUGGACCCGCGGCGCAUUAGCUAGUUGGUGAGGUAACGGCUCACCAAGGCGACGAUGCGUAGCCGACCUGAGAGGGUGAUCGGCCACACUGGGACUGAGACACGGCCCAGACUCCUACGGGAGGCAGCAGUAGGGAAUCUUCCGCAAUGGACGAAAGUCUGACGGAGCAACGCCGCGUGAGUGAUGAAGGUUUUCGGAUCGUAAAACUCUGUUGUUAGGGAAGAACAAGUACCGUUCGAAUAGGGCGGUACCUUGACGGUACCUAACCAGAAAGCCACGGCUAACUACGUGCCAGCAGCCGCGGUAAUAC
rnacentral:rRNA from 1 species